UAGAAUUUUACUCAACAUCUACCAGAUGCCAGGGGUUCUAUAUAUCUAAUACUCUUAGAACUCCUAAUCAUCGGAAAAGCCUUGAAUAAUCAGAGAAGGUUUUGCAAAAGUGGUGUUUUCUGAGAUAAGCCAUGAAAGAUGAACAGGAGUUACCUGAGAUGAGACAUGGGAUGAAGCCCUGGGCAGGUGUUCCAAUAGAGGGAACAGAAUAGUCCCAAACGGAAAGGAAAAAUGAGACUCACUUGAGAAACUCAGUGCAGCUUGUCUAAAACCACAGGAAGCAGAGAAAGUGUGUAGCUUGGAAAUCUAGGGAGAAGUGGGGGUUGGGUAGGCUAAGGGAUACCAGAGAGUCAGAAUACAGCAUGAAGUCUGAACUUUUUUCUUUUUUUUCCAUUUAUUUAUUUUUUAUUAGAUAUUUUCUUUAUAUACAUCUCAAAUGCUAUCCCAAAAUUUCCCUAUACCCUCCCUCUGCCCUGCUCCCCUACCCAUCCACUUCUGCUUCUUGGCCCUGGCAUUCCCCUGUACUGGGGCAUAUAAAGUUUGCAAGACCAAGGGGUCUCUCUUCUCAGUGAUGGCCGACUAGGCCAUCUUCUGCUACAUAUGCANNNNNNNNNNNNNNNNNNNNNNNUUGUUGUUCAACCUAUAGGGUUGCAGACCCCUUCAGCUCCUUGGGUGCUUUCUCUAGCUUCUCCAUUGGGGGCCCUGUGUUCCAUCUUAUAGAAGACUGUGAGCAUCCACCUCUGUAUUUGUCAGGCACUGGCAUAGCCUCAUACGAGACAGCUAUAACAGGGUCCCUUCAGCAAAAUCUUUCUGGCAUUGUGUAAUAAUGUCUGGGUUUGGUGGCUGAUUAUGGGAUGGAUCCCCGGGUGGGGUAGUCUCUGGAUAGUCCAUCCUUUCGUCUUAGCUCCAAACUUUGUCUUAGUAACUCCUUUCGUGGGUGUUUUGUUCCCUACUCUAAGGAGGAAUGAAGUAUCCACUCAUUGGUCUUCCCUCUUCUUGAUUUCUUGUGUUUUGCAAAUUGUAUCUUGGUUUGAACUUUUUUUCUGAGAGCAAUUUAGAAAAGCAAGUUUUGGGCAUGUUUAGUUACAGUGUGGUAAAAAGUGGGUUAAAUGAGUAAAACAUUGGUAUAAAGACUAAGAAAAAGUGUAUAUUAGUUCCAAAUUUUGAGUAAUUAUCUACACUUCCCCAGCCAUUUAUUCAUUUAAUGAAUAUAUUGGCUAAAUGUUGAUCAAAUAUUUUUGUGUUAUUGUCAAUUGUUUCUUAUGGAGUCCUUGUUAUGUGUCAGGUACUGUAGAUAAACAGUGAUCUUCAUUUUUCUCUGAGACAGGACCUGGGCUAUAUCUGAGACAGAUAUAGCCCAUUCAGGCCUCAAACUCUCCACUCCUCUGCUUCCUGAGUUCUAGGAAUAAAGACACCCACCAGCAUGCCUUUUGAUAGGUGAGGGAACUAAAAUAAGCAGAACUCACGAGUGCUGACGUUACUAGUGAAGGGCCAAGACAGAAUUUGAUCUCAGGUCAGUUUGACAUCCUGACAGAUUUAGCCAUGUCAUUCAAAGAAACAUUUCACACUAAGUUAUGUUAACAUACUCUAAAAUUC
ensembl:antisense Gm42681 predicted gene 42681